rnacentral:rRNA from 1 species
GCCAGCAGCCAUAUAGCUCAUAGCUGGCAGCCCCACUGGAGCUCAGCAGGUAUGAGCCUGGUCAGUACCUGGAUGGGAGACCUCCUGGGGAAAACUAAGGUUGCUGCUGGAA